rnacentral:lncRNA from 1 species
AUGGAUUUGUACGUAUGUGGACAAAGUCAUACAUAUGUGCAAGGCUUUCCUGUUGUUGUUCUUUCCCCCCUCUUGCUUUUCCCCUCUCCUCCCCAACAGCUGACAGCAAAGGCGAAAGCUGGUGAGAAGCCAAGCUGGAAAAGGCCACUAGGCUCAGUUACAGUAACAGAGAGGGAGAAAAAAAACUGUUUUUGGAGAUGUUUGGAAAUAGGUGGCUUAUCAGACCUCUCGAACAGGUUGUUGGAGAUGUUUGGACAACUGCAAUGGAAAAGGGAGAUUACCCAUCUAUCGCUUCUACUGGAUUCCACUACUUUGACAAUUUAUUUAGGAAUGAGGAAGUACUCCAUCACUCCAUCCAGGACUCGGUGUCACAAAUGGAUGAUGAAGUGGCAGCUCCCCCUGUGGCCGGAAUCGGGCAUACCCUCAUGAACCCGGAAGCUGGAAAAUGUUAAAUUGCCUCUGUGUCUGUCUGUCUGUCUAUAUGCCGUAUGUCUAAUAGCAUUGAAUGUUUGCCAUGUAUAUGUGCAUUGUGAUCCGCCCUGAGUCUCCUUUGGGGUGAGAAAGGCAGAAUAUAAAUACUGUAAAUAAAUAAAUUAAUAAAUAAAUUUAUUUGCUGACAUUGCCAUAUCAAUAUUUGGCCAUCUAGAUGUUUUGGACUACAAUUCCCACAAACUCUUACUACUGGAUAUAUGCUAGUUGGGGCUUAUGAGGGCUGUAGCUUAAAAUUUUUCUAAAGGGUGAAAGAUCCUGCCAUUUGUUUUGUGUCAAAAGCAUUGCACAAAUAAGUAUAAAACUGAUAAAAUGGAGGGAACACAAGCAGCUAAAUAAUUUUAGAUUAAAAAUGGGCAACAGCAACCAGAUUGUCUGUAGCUUUAAAUGAUUCUUCCUCUGUGCAUGAGGCAGGACAUUAGCAUAAAGAUGCAGAGUUGUUUGUUCUGCUCCACAGUCGCACAAGGUGGAGGAUUCUUCUAGGUAGCGUCAUUUUGCCAGGUUGUCUUUUGAUCUGCCAACUCCACUUCUGAGUUUGUUCAGGGACUUCCAAGUUGCCCAUUCUUGAUUUGUCCCUCGAGAAAGACCCUUGUGGGGAGAUAUCCAGUUGGAAUUGCCUGAUUUUGCUGCCAAA